rnacentral:lncRNA from 1 species
CUCGACAUACACAAUAACAACUCUCGAAAUCUGAAUACAUUUUCCAAAAACCCGGAAUCUCAUGAUCACAAGCCUUUGAAUGUCUACAAGUAUCUAACUCCAGAAUAUCUAACAAAGGAAGGGAAAAUACAAAAGGGCUAAUACUAAAAAGGGGAAGUAAAAAGAGACUCUUCGGUAUGCGGACGCAGCAGAUAUACCUCGGAGUCUCUACAAGCACCUCGUCUCAAGCGUGAUGAGUCUGAAUGGAGGUACCUGGAUCUGCACAUGGAAAACAUGCACAGAAAGGGCAUGAGUACACCACAUCGGUACUCAAUAAGUGUCAAGCUUAACCUCAGUCGGAUAAUGACGAGGAAGGUCAGGACCCUACUAAGAUUAAAUGAAAUAUAAGGUGCGACAGUAUAAGAUAAAGCAGCACAAUUGCAAGAUAACAAUAAGAAUCAAUACAGGAUAAUAAGGAUAACUAUAACUGAACAGAAACAAUCACUAGGAAUACCACUCUUCUCAAAGAUAAUAAUGGGGGAUCUCUCAGUAUUCUGAGGAUCUUUUAGUACUCUCAAUACAUGUCAGGGAUCUCUUGGUAUCCUCAAUAUAUGCUAGGGAUCUCUUGGUAUCCCGAGAAUCUCUUGGUAUCCUCAAUAUACGUGCUAGUGAUCUCUUGGUAUCCCAAGGAUCUCUUGGUAUCCUCAAUAUACGUGCUAGUGAUCUCUCAGUAUCCCACACCUCAACUCAAAUCAUAAAUACGUACAGGGGAUUUCCCGGGAUGUCGUCCCGUAGUCCCAAAGUAAAACACACAGCAACAACACAAGGAAUACUCAAUUAAGCUAAAUUUCAUACCAAGUAAAAUAGGCAAUUUUAACCUAACAUGCUUCACAUAAUACAAUUACGGCAGUUUUAAGCAAUAAAGCAAUUAAGGAAAUUAAACAUGUUUUUCUAAGCUAACAGCAGAUUUAAGUUUCAAGUAGAGUAAGCGAGAAAGGAAAACACAAUUAAAGCUACUUAAGUGAAAACAGGAUUUUCAACAAUUAGCACAAGUACGCACUCGUCACCUCACGUACAAGACAUUUCAAUUACCACAAUACCAAAUCUUAAGGGGAAUGUCCCCCACACAAGGUUAGGCAAGCCACUUACCUCGAACCGGCUCAAAAGUCAACUCAAAACCGCGUUCUUGCCACGAGUACUCGACUCCAAAUGGCUCAAAUCUAUUCAAUUUAAUUGCAUAAUGUAAAUAACACUUCAAGUAACUGAUUUUACAAAUAAAUUCUAAGCUAAUACGCGAAAUUAGGUAGAAUGACCCAAAUGCCCCUCGGUCUCACGUCUCGAAAUUGGGUGAUAUUUAUAUUUUCAGAAUCCUCACACUCUCAUGAGUCUAUACAUAACAAGAACACUGAAAUCGGAGUUCAAUUGACCCGUCAAAUACCCAUGUUAAGGUCUUUUAAUCUCAAGCCUUAAUCACCCAUUUUUCCAAAUUUUUUACCACUAAUUAGACCUUUAAUCACAUAUAAACGAGUUAUGAAGUCAAAAAUAUUACCUCCAAGUGAUUACCCUUUGGUUUCCUCAAAAAUCAUCCUCAAAAGCUUCAAUCCCAUUCAAAAAUGGUGGAAAAAAUGAAAAAGGGUCGCGGAUGGACUAUUUAAAUACUACCCAGGUAUUCCUUCUUCGCGAACGCGGAAGGCCCCUCGCGUUUGUGAAGUACAAAUUCACUUGGGUCUGGAUUCCUUCAUCGCGAAUGCGAUACCCAGGUCAUGAACGCGAUGCCCAGGUCGCGAACGCGAUGCAACACCUCAUGCUCCCACGCGAACGCGGGAACAACAUGGCGAACGCGUGGGUAUGAAACCUCCCAGCUUCGCGAACGGGGGAGACUCUUUGCGAACGCGAAGCACAAAAACUCCCCUAGCACCAGAUCCUCUUCGCGAAUGCGAUACCCUACUCGCAAACGCGAAGAAGGAAACUAGAACUGGGAUGCUGCAGUUUUUCUGCAAUUUCAACAAGUUCCAAAAUGCACCGUUAAGCAUCUGAAACAUACCCGAGGCUCCCGGGACCUCAACCAAACAUGCCAACCAAUCCUAAAACACAAUUCAAACUUGUUCCAAUCUUCGGAACACUCAAAACAACAUCAACACCAAUAUAGCAUCGGAUUCAAGCCCAAGAACUUCAAAAACUCUGAAAAUACGCUUUCGCUCAAAAAGUCUAUCAAACCUCGUCCGAAUGACCUGAAAUUUUGCACACAUGUCACAUUCAACAUUACGGAGCUACUCCAACUUCCAUAAUUCCAUUCCGACUCUCGGAUCAAAAUCUCACUAUUGAACCGGAAACUUCAAAAAUUCAACUUUCGCCAUUUCAAGCCUAAAUUAGCUACGGACCUCCAAAAUACCAUCCGAACAUGCUCCUAAACCCCAAAUCACCCAACGAAGCUAACGGAACCAUCAGAAUUCCAUUCCGAGGCCGUCUUCACACUAUUCCGACUACGGUCAAAUUUCCAAAACUUAAGCUCUCAUUUAGGGACUAAGUGUCCCAAAACUCUACGAAACUCCCAAUAAUUCUCCUCGGUAACUCACAACAACAGAAACAAACACAGGGAAAGCAGUUAAUAGGGAAUCGGGACAUAAAUUCUUAAAACGACCGGUCGGGUCGUUAUAUAUAUAUAUAUAUAUCAUGAUUAAAUGAUGGAAGUCUAUGUGCAAACAUAUAUCAUGCAUUUAUUAAUUUGAUAUAAAUAUGUGGCGCAAAUAAAUAUAUUACCAUUAUGAUACUAGUUCAUGAUAACAUUCAGAAUUCGAGCUAGUUUUGAUUAAAUAUGUGAUACAAACCCUAGGUCUCAGAGAGAAUAUAGAUGAGCAUGUGGAGAAAGAAAAUGAUAUUAUUAAGUGAUGAAUAAAAUCUGUACAAGGUAAAAACAGAUCUCUUUAUAUAUUUACAGUAAAAAGAAUGGACAUAUUGAAUAAUUAAACUAAGUCUAAUGGGUCAAGAAGGCUGCAGUUGGGCCUGAUCACCCUUAUUGGGCCUGCUGAACUCUGUUGUGGGCUGAGACAGAUCUGGAUCUCCAAUAGCCCCCCUCAAGCUGGAAGGGGAGCCCAUUCCAAGCUUGGAAAUGGAGCUCUGUUGUUGAGCACCUAGCAAAGACUUGGUAAAAACAUCAACAAUCUGAGAAUAAGUUAAAGUAGCAUGUAAACUGAUAAACCCAGACUUUAAAGCAUCCCUAACAAAAUGGCAAUCGACCUCUAUGCGUUUAGUCCGUUCAUGAAAGACAAGAUUCUUGGAAAUGUGGAUAGCCGACUGACUAUCACAAUAAACCUCAACAGGAACCUAAUUGACAAGACCAAACCCAGUCAAUAAUCGAACAACCCAAACAACCUCAGCAACCAGCAACGUAAGGGCUCUAUAUUCUGCUUAAACAGAAGAGAGAGCAAGAGUUGGUUGCUUUUUAAAUUUUCAUGAAAUGGGACAGCCACUAAGAAAUAAAAUAAAAUCACUAACUGACCAUCUAGAAUCAACACAACUGGCCCAGUCAGAGUCACAAUAUCCUUUGAGAUCAAAACCAGGAGAAUUAGAGAGAGAAAUACCAAAAGUUGGAGUGUGAGCCAAGUACCUGAGAACAUGAUACGCAACAGCCAAGUGGGGCAAUCUAGGGGCUGACAUGAACUAACUUAGGUGUUGAACCGUAAAAGAAAUGUCUAGCCUAGUAUGUUGCAAGAAAUUCAAUUUACCCACGAACCGUCUAUAUAAUGAAGGAUCAGAUAACAAGUACCAAACCUCAGAGGACAACUUAAUAUGAGGAUCAAUGGGAGACACCAUAGGGGUAACAUCUGAACAAUGAAACUCUAAUAGAAGGUCCUGGAGAAACUUGUGCUGGUUGAUCAAGAAACCAGAGGACUGCUUGACAACCUCAAGCCCAAGAAAAUAAUGUAUCUCACCAAGAUCUUUGAUCUUGAAUUGGGCAUCCAAAAAAAAUUUGAGAGCAUCUAUCUCAUAGAGGAUGUCCCCAGACACAAGAAUAUCAUCAACAUAAACAACCACCACAGUUAAACAACCAUCAUAAAGCUUAGUAAACAAAGAGUAAUCAUUUACACUAGGUUGGAACCUCGUAGAUUGAAGAGCAACGGACAACUAAGCAUACAAUUGCCUAGAAGCUUGUCUAAGGCCAUAAAAAGACUUAUGAAGUUUACAAGCAAGAGUAGAAUUAUCAGUGGACUGGACAGACAAACCAGGGGGUAACUUCAUGUACACCUCUUCGUCCAAAUCACCAUGCAAAAAAACAUUAUUUACAUCCAAUUGAUAAACAACCCAAUUUUUUUAAUAGCCACAGUCAACAAAUAUCUAACUGUAGUCAAUUUGACCACAGGAGAAAAAGUCCCAGUGAAAUCCACUCCCUCUUGUUAAUUAUCACCGUUAAUGACUAGUCUAGCUUUGUAUCUUUCAAUAGAACUAUCUGCUUUUUGUUUUAUCUUAUACACCCAUUUACAAGGAAUAGCUUUCUUCCCCGAAGGAAGAGGCACAAUAAACCAAGUAUUAUUUGCCUCCAAAGCGUGAAAUUCUUGCAUCAUAGCCUCUUGCCAAGCAGAUUUGAAGCAACAUGAUGAUAAAAUUGAGGCUCAAGCUGGCAACUCUCAGAGAAAGAAGAAGGAAUAGCCUUAGAAUCAGAAACAUAGGUGCAUACAUAAUUACUUAGAUAGGCAGGAGUUUGAGUUGAUCUACCAGAUCUUCUGAGAGGUGGAGCAGAGUGUAGGGUUGCGAGGAGGAAUAAAAGAGGGAACAGAGAGCUGAAGAGGGAGGAAGAGACAGAAAAGGGAGAGUUAGUAGGUGAGGAGGGAACAAGUGAGUAGUAGAGGAGUUAGAUUAAGGAAAAAUAUGUACAUGAAACACUACAUCCCUUGAAUGAAAAAUAGCAGAAGUGGACAAGUUUAACAAUUUAUAAGCUUUCUUGCCAGUACUAUAACCAAUAGAAACAACUGAAAUUGUCCUAGACUUGAACUUGUCCCUACAGGGCUUAGGCACAGCAGCAAAACAUAAACAACCAAAAGUCUUUAAAUGUGUGAAGGAUGGAGAACGUCCAUGCAGAAUUUCAAAAGGUUAUUUAUGUUAAAGUAAAGGAAAGGGGAACCUAUUGAUGAGAUAUGUUGUUGUUAAAACACACUCACCCCAAUACUUAACAGGCAAUUUGGAUUGAAAAAGGAGUGUCCUAACAAUCUCAAAAAGAUGUUUGUACUUCCUUUCUACCACACCAUUCUAUUAAGGUGUGUGUGUACAGGAAGUUUGAUGGAUAAUGCCUUGAGCAGGAAAAAAAUAACUUCAGAACUACUACCACAACUCAAAUGCAUUGUCUGAUCUUACAGUUUUAACAUGGGAACCAAACUGAGUGUGAACCAUAUGAAUAAAAGAUUUCAAACAGUGAAGGCAUUAGCCUUAGAAGACAAAAGGUGAGACCAUGUAGCCCUGGUAAAUUCAUCCAUAAUAGUCAAAAAAUAUCUAAAGCCAUUGUAUGUUUGAGUGUAAUAGGGACCCCAUAAAUCUACAUGUAUCAAUUGAAAAGGAUAAGUAGAAUGAAUGGAACUUUCAAGAAAAAGGAAGUCUUUGCUGCCUAGCCAUAGGACAAAUAUGGCAAAGAAAAAUUUGCUUUUGAGGUAAUUUACCAGAAAGACAGGGCAUAUGUUUCAUUUUAGUGAAAGGAUAGCCUAAUCUCAAGUGCCACAUAUGGUCAACAGAUAAAGUAGAAAUAACAGAAAUAUCAAAACCAGGUAAAACAAUAUCAAAAGAGCAGACACAGAAGAACAAGAAGUAAAACUGCUCUUACUCAAUUAUUUACACUAGCAGUUAUGGUAUUUACAGAGAAAAGACUAGAAAAACUAGAAUCAUAGAAAGCAUUAGAUUGCAGAAUGUAUAGCCCUUUCUGAAGUUUACCAAGAACCAGAGGCUUCUUCAGAAAAAGGCCCUGUAACAAAGCAUAAAGAGCAGGAGUAAAGAAAGCAUUACACUUGAGAUGAAGAAGCAAUUGAUGCAAAGAAAUCAGAUUAUAGUGAAAGGAAGGGACCAAUAACACAUGAGGAAGAGAAAUAGUGGGAGAAAGAGAAAGUGAGCCAGUACAGGUAACCUUAACCUUGAACCCAUUUGGGAGAGUUACCAGGUAAGGCAAAGGUAGAAGUGUGAUAUCAGUAAGUAAAGAUUUGUAAGGUGUCAUGUGAUUAGUAGCACCAGAGUCAAUGAUCCACAAACUAUCAUCUACUUUAGAGAAAUUGCAAGUAUGAGAUACACAAUUACUAAAAUCAACACACUUAUCAAACCUGCAAAAUUGGCAGAGGCAGCACUAAGGUCCUGAGGAGUGGAGGAUUGCUUGGAAAGUUGAAGCAAAGAAACCAGCUGUUUAUAUUGCGCUUUUGACAAAAUAUUGCCCCUAAUAUCAAGUGGAACAGUCUUGGACCCUUCAGUAACAUGAUGGUGAUUGUCAGGCACACCUGCUCUAGAUGGAUGACAUGAGCAUAAACUGUUGUUCUUUUGAUUUUAGAGCUAGAACCAGGGGAUAUCCAUGCAAUUUGUAACAUUUAUCAAUCGAAUGCCCGGGCUUCUUACAAUAUCUUCACACCAUAUUAGAAUUCCCUUUUCUGGAAGCAUCAAAAUUCACCUUAUUAGAAGCAUCAAAAGGAGGUUGAGUCAGUACUUAAACUUAGAGUAACAGGCUGAACCUCUGCCUGAAUCUCAUCCUCAAUUAACAUAGCAUAGACACUAUCAAUGUCAAGCAGCGGCUUCAUGAGUAAGAUAUUCCUCCAAACACCAGAAUAAGCCUCAUUCAAACCCAUAAGAAAUUGAUGCACCUUUUGUUCAUCCUCCAACUUCUGAAAUGCCUCCUUACAUCCAAAGGUAUACAUUCUGGGUAUGAGAUGGAAUAGGCAAGUUCAUCCCAAAGCUUCUUAAUGCAAUUAAAAUAAGAAGCAAUGUUUGAAGAGCCUUAGGAGAUGGAAGCAAUGUCUUUUCUCAUCUGAAAGAGCUUAGUACCAUUUGGUUUUUCCUAACGUUGCUCAUUUUCCUUCCAUAGCUUUUGUGCAGACUCGGUGUACAUAACAUUUUUCCUAAUUUAUGUCUCUAAACUGUUUAAUAUCCAAGCAGUCACCAUAUCAUUACAUCGACACCAUGGUGCAAAUAGAGGAGAGUUUUCAUUUGGUUUAACAACCGUCCCAUUAAUAAUCCCUAAUUUAUUUUUGUAAGAUAAACCUAUCAACAUACUCCUCCUCCAACCUCCAUAACCAAUGCCAUUAAAGGAUUUAGCCACCAAUAUUGUGCCAGAGGAGUCAGAAGGGUACAAAUAUAUGGGAUGAGACGGUUCAACAAUAGAAGACGUGCUGAAAGAGCCGACAAUAGAAGAAUCCCCAACAAAUCCCAUAAUUCAACUAUACUAAAGCAAAUUCGGAUUAUGAUUAUCACACAAACAAUCAGACAACAAUUUCACCGAGACAAAAUCACCCACACCAAGCACAAUCGAGCAAAAUUGGUAAAAUUCCGACGAAAACCAACACAAGUCCACGGAAGCAGUAGCAAAAAACGAGAAUGACGAGAAAUUACCAAACUUUGACAAUAACUUGGAAAAGGAAAACAAUAGAACAAUCAAAAAAAUCACUGAAAUACUCGCCUGAAUGCCAUAAGAUGGCCAUCAAAAAAAUCGAACAAAAAUGUCGAAUCACCCGACAAGGGUAACACCGGAGGAACGGGAAUGAUCGGGGCUAGUCAAUUCCUUGCUCUAAUACCAUGAUAAUAUUCAGAAUUCGAGCUAGUUUUGAUCAAAUAUGUGAUACAAACCCUAGGUCUUAGAGAGAACAUAGAUGAGUGUGUGGAGAAAGAAAAUGAUAUUAUUAAGUGAUGAAUAAAAUCUGUACAAGGUAAAAAAAAACAGAUCUCUUUAUAUAUUUGCAGGAAAAAGAAUGGACAUAUUGAAUAAUUAAACUAAGUCUAAUGGGUCAAGGAUGCUCCAAUUGGGCCUUCUGAACUCUGUAGUGGGCUGAGAUAGA